rnacentral:rRNA from 1 species
AGAGUUUGAUCAUGGCUCAGGAUGAACGCUAGCGGCAGGCUUUAACACAUGCAAGUCGAACGGUAAGCCCUGCUUGCAGGGUACACGAGUGGCGCACGGGUGCGUAACACGUAUGCAACCUACCUUUAACUGAGAGAUAGCCCCGAGAAAUUGGGAUUAAUACCUCAUAAUAUCAUAAAACAGCAUUGUUUAAUGAUUAAAGCUCCGCGGUUAAAGAUGGGCAUGCGUGACAUUAGUUUGUUGGUGAGGUAACGGCUCACCAAGACUACGAUGUCUAGGGGUUCUGAGAGGAUUAUCCCCCACACUGGUACUGAGACACGGACCAGACUCCUACGGGAGGCAGCAGUGAGGAAUAUUGGGCAAUGGACGAAAGUCUGACCCAGCCAUGCCGCGUGCAGGAUGACGGCCCUAUGGGUUGUAAGCUGCUUUUAUAUGGGAAGAAACCCAGAGACGUGUCUCUGGCUGACGGUACCAUACGAAUAAGGAUCGGCUAACUCCGUGCCAGCAGCCGCGGUAAUACGGAGGAUCCAAGCGUUAUCCGGAUUUAUUGGGUUUAAAGGGUGCGCAGCGCCUUAUAAGUCAGUGGUGAAAUU